UGGGUUGCCCGGGAUUCGAACCCGGAACUAGUCGGAUGGAGUAGAUAAUUUCCUUGUUAUGUUAAUUAAAUAAGGAAAAACCCCUCCCCAAGCCGUGCUUGCAUUUUUCAUUGCACACGGCUUUCCCUAUGUAUACAUCAUUUCCUUUCUUAUAAAGACUUUAAAAAGUUGAAUACUCAGUUGAUUUAACCCUUAUUACAUACUACAUCAACAUUUCAGAAUAGUGGAAAUCACAUUUUUAUUUUGUUAUUUCUUCAUCCAUUUAAUUUAGGAAAAAUUUCUAUUUCCAAGCUUUCAGAAUAAUUAUUUCUGAUUGAUCAGAUCAUUGAUACAAAUAAUAUCCAAAUACCAAAUCCGACUUCUAUAUACUCCCCGCAAAGUGGAAGAAGCUUUUGGGAAGGUCAAAGAAAGAACUUGUUCUUCCGACAUAAGAAAUUCUUCCAAUAAUUCCGAGCCUAAUUUUUUCAAAAAAGCACGUACAGUACUUUUGUGUUUCCGAGCCAAAGUUCUAGCACAAGAAAGUCGAAGUAUAUACUUUAUUCGAUACAAACUCUUUUUUUUGGAAGAUCCGCUAUGAUAAUGAGAAAGAUUUCUGCAUAUACGCCCAAAUCGAUCAAUAAUAUCAGAAUCUGAUAAAUCAGCCCGAACCGGCUUACUAAUGGGAUACCCUAGUACGUUACAAAAUUUCGCUUUAGCCAAUGAUCCAAUCAGAGGAAUAAUUGGAACAAGAGUAUCGAACUUCUUAAUAGCAUUAUUGAUUAGAAAUGAAUUUUCUAGAAUUUGGCUCCGUACCACUGAAGCGUUUAGUCGCACACUUGAAAGAUAGCCCACAAAUUCAAGGGAAUGAUUAGAUAAUUGGUUUAGAUAAAUCCUUCUUGGAUGAAACCACAGCGAAAAAUAACAUUGCCAAAAAGUUACAAGGUAAUAUUUCCAUUUAUUCAUCAAAAGAGGCGUCCCUUUUGAAGCCAGAAUGGAUUUUCCUUGAUACCUAACAUAAUGCAUGAAAGGAUCCUUGAACAAGCAUAGAUUGGUCUGAAAAUCCUUAACAAAGACGUCUACAAGACGUUCUAUUUUUCCAUAGAAAUAGAUUCGUUCAAGAAGAGCUCUAGAAGAUGUUGAUCGUAAAUGAGAAGAUUGGUUACGUAGAAAGACGAAAAUAGAUUCGUAUUCACAUACAUGAGAAUUAUAUAAGAAGAAGAAUAAUCUUUGAUUCCUUUUUGAAAAAGAAGAACUGGCUUUCUUUGGAGUAAUAAGACUAUUCCAAUUACAAUACUCGUGAAGAAAGAAUCGUAAUAAAUGCAAAGAAGAGGCAUCUUUUACCCAAUAGCGAAGAGUUUGAACCAAGAUUUCCAGAUGGAUGGGGUGGGGUAUUAGUAUAUCUAACACAAAAUUUAAAUGUGAAAAAUUGUCCUCUAAAAAAGGAAAUAUUGAAUGAAUUGAUCGUAAAUUAUGAGAUUUUACUAUCUUUUUUUUUUUCCCUUCUAGAGAAAGUAUUAAUCGUAGAGAAAAUGGAAUUUCCACAAUAAAUGCAAACCCCUCUGAUAUGAUUUGAGGAUACAAAUUCUUGUUGCGCCCCAAAAAUGGAUUUUGGUUAGAAUCAUUAGCAGAAAUAAGAAAAUGAUUCUGUUGAUACAUUUGAGUAAUUAACCGUUUUACAAUUAGUAAACUGGAUUUAUUGUCAUAACCUGGAUUUUCCAACAAAAUCCAUCUAUUGAAACCCUGAUCAUGAGCAAGUCCAUAAAUAUACUCCUGAAAGAUAAGUGGAUAUAAAAAGUCGUGUUGUUGAGAUCUAUCUAGCUGUAAAUAUCUUUGGAUUUCCUCCAUUUGAAAUUUUAUUUGAACCAAAGUUAGAAGAAUUUUGUGGGUUAUCAAAUGAUACAUAGUGCGAUACAGUCAAAACAAGGUAUUCUAGUAAGAAUAGAUACCUCGGAAACAGGUAAACUUAUCAACAGAUUCUCUACCCUCUCUUUUUUCCAUUUCAUUUAAUUGGUCUAUGUUAUAGGAUAACAAGAUGGUUAGAAAUCUUUUAUUUUUUGAACCUAAUCGCUCUUUUGAUUUCGGAAAAAAACUUUCUUUAUCAAUAUACUGCUUCUUUUACAUAUGCAUCUCCAUUCCAUAAUGGAGAAUGCCAAUAGUUAGGAUUCAUUAAAAAAAUAUAGAAUCCACUCAUGGGGGGAGAAGUCCUUGCCGUAUCAGGCACUAAUCUAUUUUUAACGUCUAAUUAGAUCGAGAAAUUAUUCAAAUUUAAGAACAGAAGCUGGUUGCUUUUUCUUUCCCAUAAUUAAUUGAAGCCAUAGGGCCCUAUCCAUUUAUUCAUUUGACCCAACUUUUUUUUGUUCCGUUCCAAGAAUUCGAACAGGGUUUUGUACCGAUCCGAUAAAAAUGAAAUAGACUCAGAACUCUCCGUUGAUACGACAUGCUAUUUUUUCCAUUCAUUCCCUUUCAGGAUCAGUCGCGGUCUUCCAAACUUUACCGAUGGUAUGGACGAAUUCCUCGCUUCAUCCAAAUGUGUAAAAGAUUCUAGCCGCACUUAAAAGCCGAGUACUCUACCGUUGAGUUAGCAACCC
rnacentral:tRNA from 1 species